rnacentral:sRNA from 1 species
CGUUUGCGUGAGGGAUUGUAGUGGAAAUCCUUUUGUGUAAUGAAAUGGAACAAAAGAUUGUAGCGGAAAGCCCGACCCGAA